rnacentral:rRNA from 1 species
UACGUAGGGGGCAAGCGUUGUCCGGAAUUAUUGGGCGUAAAGAGCGUGUAGGCGGCCAGAUAAGUCCGCUGUGAAAUCUCGAGGCUCAACUUCGAGCUGUCGGUGGAAACUAUCUGGCUAGAGUCCGGAAGAGGAGAAUGGAAUUCCUGGUGUAGCGGUGAAAUGCGCAGAUAUCAGGAGGAACACCAAUAGCGAAGGCAGCUCGCUGGGACGGUACUGACGCUGAGGCGCGAAGGCCAGGGGAGCAAACGGG